rnacentral:lncRNA from 1 species
AGGACCAAAACCUGGUGCAAAGCAUAAACAUGAAACUAAGUCUGAAGCGGAGCAAGACCUGAAAAGUACUGGAAAUGACCGGAAACCAGAACGAGCUUUUCCUGACAAAAAAACUAAAUAUAUUCAAAAGCCGAAACCUUCCCUGCCCAAACCCACAACCAACCAAUCAAAACCUGCCAACAACCCAAAACAUGUCCAAAUUAUAAAACAUGACCAGCGGCGACAACCUGAUGUUUUAUCAACUGAUCAAAACCUAAAAAACACUUCAAAACCCAAACAACACAGAGAGCAUGCAUCUAGUCCAAACAAGGCACCAGUUGAAAGGCCAAAGGCAAAUCAAAAGCCUGUCACUGUGACCCAGAGACAUCAUCAAAAACAUCCAGCGGUUAACACAACCCGUUUAGACAGAUAUUCUUCAAUCAACAAAAUGGAAGAGCCUGGACAAAUCCAAACUUCUGGUGAAAAUUCAAAACCUGACAGAAAACUGUUCCAUCCUUUUAAAACUACCAAAUCUGAUGGAAUUAGAAAACCUGAGAUGAGAACAGAAAGUGAAGAAACAAGACCAGAUCAAUCAUUUGAACGAAAUCAAGAUCAAUCACUUGUUCAUGAGCCCGAAUUAAGAAGAAGCGAAAUGACUAUUUUAACGCCAAAACCUUUCCAAAAUGCUGCAACUGAGUCUAUAGGAAAGGCAAAUGAAAACCCUUCAUUGGAGCUCAUACCCAAUGAAGGCUCAUCUACACAAAAAAAUCCACCUAAUCAAAGGUUUCCGCCCAAUAAGAAAAACACAACAAUUAACCAAAAGACUGUAACUGAGUCUAUGGAAGAAGAAGAUGAUGAUAAUCCCCUUUUUGAGCCCACAAGCAAAACCUCAACACCUCAACAGAAUAUGACACCUGAUCAAGCUAGUACAUUGCCAGAUCAAAAGCAAACACCCCAUCAGAAUAUAGUAUUAUUCAACCAAGAACCUGUAACUGAGCCUGACAAAAGUCCCAUCUCUAAACCUGCAUCUAAUGAAGACUCAACACCUCGAGGAAAAAUCCCCUCUGAUGGACUGGAUCAAAAAUUUAAACCCCAUCAGAUAAUUCCAGAAAUCAAGACAGAAACAGUAACUGAGUCCACAGAAAAAAUUAAAGAAAAUGUUUCAUUUGAGACUGUGUCUAAUCCAAAUUUGAUGCCGAAACAGAAAUUUACACCUGAUCGUACCAGUAGACUGCCAGACCAAACAUUUGUAUCUAGGGAAGACUCAACACCUGACCUUAAAAUCACACCAGAUCGAGCUAAUGCAUGGCCUCAUCAAAAGUUUAAACCAAACAAAAAAAUCCAAGCCAACAACCAAAAUCCUAACAGAGAGCCAAGUGAAGAGUCUGACAAAACUUUCCCAACCAAGCCUACAGAUAAUAAAGGCUCAACACCAGGACAGAGAAUAUCAUCAGAUCAAGUUAAUACAAAACCAGAUCAGAAGCUAACGCCCCAUCAGAACACGCCAGUAGUUCACCAAGAGUUUAUAACCGAGUCAAUUACAAAGGCUGAAGAAAAUCCAAAAUUUCGGCCUACAUCAAACAAAAACUCAACAUCUGAUGAGAAAAUUACAUCUCAUCCGGUUGAUACUCGUCCAAAUCAGAAGUUUAACCUGGGCAGGAAGAUCCCGAAACUUUCCCAAGAGCCGGUCACUGAAAUAGAAAGGUCUGGUGAAAAUCCGUCACAUUCUUCAAAAGCAAACAAAGACUCAACACCUGGACUGAAAACUGCACCAGAACAAGAUGACACGAUGUCCAAUCAAAGACUUAAACCCUACGAGGAGAUACCAACAAUGUAUCCAAAUCCAGUGACUGAUUCCAUAGAAAAGUUUAACAAAAAACCCACAUUCAAGCCUACAUUCAAUGGAGAGCCAACACCUGGACAGAAAAUCAAACAUGAUCACGGAAAUACGUGGUCAGAUCCAAGGUCUGAAUCCAAUCAGAAAGUCAAGACGGUCAAUCAAACACCAAGAAAUGAGUUCAUAGAAAGGGUUGAAGAAAAUUCUUCGUUUGGGUCCGUGUCCAAUCCAGAGUUGACACGAGGGCAGAAACCUGAUGAAGCUCGGACACUGCCGGAUAAAAAGCUUUCAACCCAUCAAGACAUACCAACAUUCAAUCAACAGUCUGUAACCGAGUCCAUGGAAAGGCCUGACAAAAAAUCCUCACCUGACUCUUCAACUAAUAAGGAAUCAACACCUGGACACAAAAUGACACCUGAUCAAAAUCAUACACGGCUGGAUCAAAUGUUCAAUCCCAGCAAGAAAAUCACCAA